UGAGGGUGUGUGUGGGGGAGGUCCUCCCAUACACACACCCUCACUCCCAUCCAUACACUCACCCUCUCACACACCCAACCUCCCACCUUUAAUGUGUGUGGAUGGGACUAAGGUUUUCUCAUUUCUUUCAGAUUGUGCGCCUCCGAGGUGAACGUGUGGCUGGUCGAGAACUCCUCCAAACAGGUAAAGUACUUAUGACAAUAUAUAAUGUCUAUAUGCAAGUAUUUAUGAAUGUUAUGUUUUAAAGUUUUUUGUAUUCCAGGUUUGUUUGUGUGGCUGACUGGACCUACUACAAGGUGCUUCUUGGAGGUAAUAAAGAUACAUCAGUGAUGGUGAGGCCGUCACAUUACCAGCGGUUGUGGAUUUCUCAAUUCAACCUUUAUAUUGCAGACUCCACAUAAGGU